UGAGGCUUCCCACUUCAAGGCUGUGUUCUGACUCAUCCUGGAAGCUGGAAGCCUGGAU
rnacentral:pre_miRNA from 1 species